AUUGAACGCUGGCGGCAGGCCCAACACAUGCAAGUCGAACGAGUGGCGGACGGGUGAGCAAUGCUUGGGAAUCUGGCUUAUGGAGGGGGUUAACGACGGGAAACUAUCGCUAAUACCGCGUACCAUAGGAUGAGACAAGGUGGGAUUAGGUAGUUGGUGGGGUAAAGGCCUACCAAGCCGACGAUCUCUAGCUGGGCUGAGAGGAUGACCAGCCACCCCGGGACUGAGACACGGCCCAGACUCCUACGGGAGGCAGCAGUGGGGAAUAUUGGGCAAUGGGGGCAACCUGAAGCAGCCAUGCCGCGUGAAUGAAGAAGGCCUUCGGGUUGUAAAGUUCUUUCGGUGACGAGGCGUUAACCACAGAAGAAGCACCGGCUAACUCCGUGCCAGCCGCCGCGGUAAUUC
rnacentral:rRNA from 1 species